CUUCUGAUAGCUCAGCUGGUAGAGUAAUUGACUGUAGAUACAUAGGUCGCUGGUUCAUAUCCGGCCCGGAGGA